UCCACUGUGCUGGUUGAAGUUGAAAGUGUUCUCAACUGCAGGCCAAUAACAUACUGCAGCGGUGACGCAAGAGAUCCCGAGCCUCUAACACCCAGUCACUUCUUGCUUGGCUCCGCAGAGUCGGUUUUACCUCCCGGCAUGUUCAAUGACUCGGAAUUACUGAGUAAGAAGAGGUGGCGACACGCUCAAGUCCUUGCGAACCAUUUCUGGCAAAGGUGGAGGAAGGAAUAUCUGCCUACACUGAUUCGCCGCGAAAAGUGGAACAGCGAAUCUGAGAACCUUCAAGAAGGGGACGUUAUCCUCAUGGUGGAUGAUCAAGCCCCACGGGGGUACUGGCCUCUGGCGACUGUCACACGCACCGUACCAGGCGAGGACGGCCGAGUCCGUUCGGUGGAAAUCAGAACUGGAAGCGGUCUGACGUACCACCGACCAGUCAACAAAGUGUGCUUCCUUGAAAGACUUGAGUAAUUUCCUGGCUUCAACGAUGCAUGACUGCCAAGAAAGCUAGUGGUUCUUCCUAACACCCUUUCACUAACAUGUACACGUAAGCGCUGAGAUAGGUAUGCUCACGUACCCAUUCCUCUGCAUAUACUUCCCAUAUAGCCUGUGCAGCCCACCAACUGAUCGAUCACCCAACUGCCCGCCCGGAGCACGCAUGGACCUGCAUGGGCGCGGCGACUGCGACGCAGCCAGCCGGCAGCUGGGACGGAGAGGCACGGCGCCGGCACCACGAGGGCUGCUCACGGGAGGACCUAGCAAGAUUGAGCCGGUGGAGGAGCUGACUGAAUGCCGCCGCUGGUACCUGCUAGCAGCCGGCGAUGACUGCUACGGACUGUUAUGGACAGUUAUCACUGGAUGUGGCCCCUCAUCGCCACCGAAGUCCGACUGGGCUGCUGCCGCUCACUUAGGGAGGGGUUCCCUCUGUUCCCGUUCGGCUGUUAUCGACUGCAGCAGUCGGAUGCCGGACAUGCUUGGACAUGCCGGACAUGAACAUAGAACACUGGUGGAUAAGCACUACAGAGUGACAUGUGUUAACGAUUGGACAAUGCAUGGUUUAAGUGGCAUAUCGCGUUCCUGCGCAUACAGAACUCUGGUGGGGGAGGGUGUCGUAACUACGAGUGUUUUGACGCGGAGGCAUGCUUGCUAACGCGCGAGAAUAGCUUUGAAAUUUUACUGACAACGUUUUUAUAUGUUCAUGAUAAAAAUCAGCACGGCUUGGAAAGAAUGUAGGCAAAUGUUUCAGUUUAUACUGCAUUUACAAUGAUGUAAUUUAAGUUGAUAGUGGCGAGAAAUUGAAGAUGUAAUUUAAGUUGAGAGUGGCGAGAAAAUGAAUGGAAUAAGUUGUAUAGCCGAAACGAUCGAUCGAUGUCACCGAACCGAAACGUCACCGAUAUGAACCGAGGUCAACGUUUGAAACCGCUAAAUACAUCGUGGAUCAGGGCU